UACGUAGGGGGCAAGCGUUGUCCGGAAUUACUGGGCGUAAAGUGUGCGCAGGCGGCCGCGCAAGUCGAGUGUGAAAGCCCCGAGCUUAACUUGGGAACUGCGCUCGAAACUACGUGGCUGGAGUGUGGCAGAGGAAGGUGGAAUUCCACGUGUAGCGGUGAAAUGCGUAGAGAUGUGGAGGAACACCAAUGGCGAAGGCAGCCUUCUGGGCCAACACUGACGCUCAUGCACGAAAGCGUGGGGAGCAAACAGG
rnacentral:rRNA from 1 species